UAGUGUAUAUAUAUGAAAAUGAGAACGAUAGAGAGAGAGAGAGUAAUGAUGCGUGUGGAUUGUGGGAGUGGGUGGGACAUAAGAAAAUAAUAGCAUUUGGUGGCACUAACCAUGUCCAUGUGAGAAUGGUCUAUGCUUUUGUGUACACUAUGGAGUGCACCUAAUCCUUUUACUCCUUUGAGCAGUGAUGACUUACUCUAUGAUCCGAUAUCCUCAUCAACAACGCGCUUAUUUAGUAGUGGCCAUUUCUCAAAGUUAGUGGCACCAAGGUAUGGAGAUGGAUGCCUAUGAAAGCUAAGAGAAAGAGAAAAAGAAAAAGGACAGGGGUGAACAAUUUCAAAAGGAUGGAUUGAAGGUAAAGAAGCGCUUCUUGGAAGUUUCUUUGUGCAAGAAAUGAGA